ensembl:snRNA U7 U7 small nuclear RNA
AAGUGUCACAGCUCUUUUAGAAUUUAUCCAGCAGGUUUUUUGGCUUAUGCUGGAGCCCCC